rnacentral:rRNA from 1 species
AUGUCACCAACAGCCUGCUACUCCGUCUCGGUGCAUGAGGACGACAUCAACAACAACGACACCUACACCAUGGAGGUGCCCAUGACCAAGGAUGACAUGUUCCUGACCAAUCUAGUACUGCCAGCAGUUUCACAUGUCUACCCCCUGAAAUUGUUCGUCGACCGUCAGCUUCAGGCACACAAUCACUCUCAGUUGCAUCAAGGACCAACAUCAAUUUCAUCAUUGGAUGGUUGGGCAAUUGAUUCUAUCUUGUCUUCACUUCCUUGUAGUCCUGAUGGUUGCUCGCAUAGAAACAAAACCCAAUUGCUCAUUGGCAUCUAUGUUGCUAGUAGUGAUUCACCAAGGGACCCUGAACAACAAGCAUCCAUGUCCUUGUUGGGUGUUGGGGUGACAAAAAAUUCAUCGAACGACAAUGUCAAGGACAACCAAAACCUGUUUUCAGAUGGGAGAUUGUCUGGUUGUUCUACUUGGAAUAUCCUGAUAUUGGUCACAAGUUCUAGUCACAAUUGUGUCCAGCAAGCAAAGAAAGUUGUAUUCAACGCACUGGAAUCAACACAAGCCAGUACUCAUGUAUUUUGCCACAGCAGGAAGAAAGUUGUACCAUUGGUCACACGACAGUUGUCGAUUCCUGAGUCUGAUGCUAGUAUAUUGUUGCUGGAAGGACUACCUCGAUCUUCUAUUCACUUGACAGUGGGGUCAUCUAGCGCUGGAUCAGCCUGUUAA